GUCCACGCCGUAAACGAUGUCAACUAGCCGUUGGAAGCCUUGAGCUUUAGUGGCGCAGCUAACGCAUUAAGUUGACCGCCUGGGGAGUACGGCCGCAAGGUUAAACUCAAAUGAAUUGACGGGGCCCGCACAAGCGGUGGAGCAUGUGGUUUAAUUCGAAGCAACGCGAAGAACCUUACCAGGCCUUGACAUCCAAUGAACUUUCUAGAGAUAGAUUGGUGCCUUCGGGAGCAUUGAGACAGGUGCUGCAUGGCUGUCGU
rnacentral:rRNA from 1 species